rnacentral:rRNA from 1 species
UACGUAGGGUGCGAGCGUUAAUCGGAAUUACUGGGCGUAAAGCGUGCGCAGGCGGUUUUGUAAGCCGGAUGUGAAAUCCCCGGGCUUAACCUGGGAAUGGCAUUUGGGACUGCAAGGCUUGAGUGCGGCAGAGGAGACUGGAAUUCCUGGUGUAGCAGUGAAAUGCGUAGAUAUCAGGAGGAACACCGAUGGCGAAGGCAGGUCUCUGGCUGGACACUGACGCUCAUGCACGAAAGCGUGGGGAGCAAACAGG